CGUUUAGGGGUAAACNUGAGAAACCCGAAAGGUCGAAGGGAGAAAUUCAUUCGCGUUUCGACGUCGGCGUCGGGGGGUCGCUUAGCGACGCGGAUGCGUUUACUCGUGUCCGCGCGCCCUCCUUCCGCAUUUCGAACGAUCCGGCGACGAACGCGUGCACUUUUCUCCUGGUAGGACGUCGCGAUCCGUUGGGUGUCGGUCUACGGCUCGCGGUGGAGACCGUUUGUCCCGUUUACGCGGCGACGAGCGGACCCGUGUGUCCCGGCCGACCCGCUCGACGGUAUACGAAAGGUUCGGGGCCGCUCUUCUUGCGGAGCGUUCGGCUCUCGGCAAGCGCGCCAGAUGUAGUCGGCGAUCGGACCCGGUGCCGAUUUCGACCUCUGACGACUGUUGGCCGAGAAGUUCUCGAACAGACCUCAAUCGAAUUCAAUUCGAGAACCGAUCUGCGGCGCUAUAGCUUUGGGUACUUUCAGGACCCGUCUUGAAACACGGACCAAGGAGUCUAGCAUAUGCGCGAGUCAUUGGGAAUUACUAAACCUAAAGGCGAAAUGAAAGUAAAGGUCUUCCUUGCGUCGACCGAGGGAGGACGAGCGGUUUACCCUUAAAAGUGGCCGUUCCGCACUCCCGGGGCGUCUCGUUCUCAUCGCGAGAAGAGGCGCACCAAGAGCGUAUACGCUGGGACCCGAAAGAUGGUGAACUAUGCCUGGUCAGGACGAAGUCAGGGGAAACCCUGAUGGAGGUCCGUAGCGAUUCUGACGUGCAAAUCGAUCGUCGGAACUGGGUAUAGGGGCGAAAGACUAAUCGAACCAUC
rnacentral:rRNA from 1 species